AGUGAACGCUGGCGGUAGGCCUAACACAUGCAAGUCGAACGGCAGCACAGUAAGAGCUUGCUCUUACGGGUGGCGAGUGGCGGACGGGUGAGGAAUACAUCGGAAUCUACUUUUUCGUGGGGGAUAACGUAGAGAAACUUACGCUAAUACCGCAUACGACCUACGGGUGAAAGCAGGGGAUCUUCGGACCUUGCGCGAUUGAAUGAGCCGAUGUCGGAUUAGCUAGUUGGCGGGGUAAAGGCCCACCAAGGCGACGAUCCGUAGCUGGUCUGAGAGGAUGAUCAGCCACACUGGAACUGAGACACGGUCCAGACUCCUACGGGAGGCAGCAGUGGGGAAUAUUGGACAAUGGGCGCAAGCCUGAUCCAGCCAUACCGCGUGGGUGAAGAAGGCCUUCGGGUUGUAAAGCCCUUUUGUUGGGAAAGAAAAGCAGCAGGUUAAUACCCCGCUGUUCUGACGGUACCCAAAGAAUAAGUACCGGCUAACUUCGUG
rnacentral:rRNA from 1 species